rfam:Human gut metagenome DNA, contig sequence: F2-W_025675.
CUGUGAACUGUAAUCCGAUAGUGGAAUGAUGGGUAACGNCCUGAAACGUCUAUCCUUGACGGACUUGCGUCAGCUGUAAUGGUUGGGGUGAGAAGCUCCGUGACAACGACCGAGAGUAGUCGUAGGAAUCUGCCAAAAGAUUCUCGAAAACGCCCCAGAGGUGGGGUGCGCUACCUAUAGGUCUAGGAUCUAUAAA